AGCAGCCGCGGUAAUUCCAGCUCCAAUAGCGUAUAUUAAAGUUGUUGCAGUUAAAAAGCUCGUAGUUGAAUUUCGGGAUCAAUACGUCGGUCGUGCUUCGGUACGUACUGGCGUAAUUGAUUUCUCCCUUCUGACGAACCAUGAUGUCAUUAACUUGGUGUCAUGGGAAAUCAGGACUGUUACUUUGAAAAAAUUAGAGUGUUUAAAGCAGGCUCACGCUUGAAUACAUUAGCAUGGAAUAAUGAAAUAGGACGUUCGAUCCUAUUUUGUUGGUUUUUAGGAUCAACGUAAUGAUUAAUAGGGAUAGUUGGGGGCAUUAGUAUUCAAUUGUCAGAGGUGAAAUUCUUGGAUUUAUUGAAGACUAACUACUGCGAAAGCAUUUGCCAAGGAUGUUUUCAUUAAUCAAGAACGAAAGUUAGGGGAUCGAAGACGAUCAGAUACCGUCGUAGUCUUAACCAUAAACUAUGCCGACUAG
rnacentral:rRNA from 1 species